rnacentral:rRNA from 1 species
UACAGAGGGGGCGAGCGUUGUUCGGAAUUACUGGGCGUAAAGGGCGCGUAGGCGGCCUUCUAAGUCGAACGUGAAAUCCCCGGGCUCAACCCGGGAACUGCGUCCGAUACUGGGAGGCUUGAAUCCGGGAGAGGGAUGUGGAAUUCCAGGUGUAGCGGUGAAAUGCGUAGAUAUCGGGAGGAACAUCUGUGGCGAAGGCGACACCGUGGACCAGCACUGACACUGAGGCACGAAAGCGUGGGGAGCAAACAGG